CCUACCGCCGUUUCAAUCGGCGGUAGGAGGCGGCAAGGCGAUACCGCUCACGGGUCACCCACCGGAUUAACUCCGCGUGAUACCCAAGAAAGCUCCGUCAUUUGAACUGGCGGUAGGGGCUUUGCUAUCGUUAAAACGGCAGUAAGGUCCUUACCGCCAGUUCAAACGGUGGGCUCGUCCACUGUAAAAUGUGACCACGCCCUUCCCCCUUCCCCCGCACCAGACCCCCGCCGCACUCACUCGUCCCCUCAUCAGACCGCUCGCAUUUGUGCCAGAGAAAGAAAGAGGAAAGGAAAGAAGGGAAGAAAAAAAAGGAGAGUAGAGGAGGAGGAGGGAAGAAAGGAGAGGAGGAGGGAAGAAAGAGAGGAGGAGGAGGAAAGAAUGGGGAAGAAAAUUUUUCCGUCGUUCUCAGUUAAAUUUUUUUAAUCUCGUAGUUUAGAUAGUAUAGUGUAGUGAUUAGAUCUAGAUUUAGAAAUAUUAAUGGAUGUGAGAUUUAGAAAUAGCUAGUGAAUCUGAGACUUAGAAACAUUUAGCUGAAUUUAGAUAUAGCAAGAUGUAGCUUAGUUAAUAUAAUAGAUUUAGCUUAGACAGUAAAAUAGAUUUAGCUUCAGUGGUAUAUUUAGCUUAGGUGGUAUAGUAGAUUUAGCUUAGGUGGUACAAUAGUUUUAUUUUAGAUCACAGUAAAUUUAAGAAAUCUUAGUGGAUCUGAGAUUUAGAAAUAUCUAGUGGAUCUGAAAUUUAUUUGUCGUGUAUAUUAGUUCUGGUACAUGCCUAUGAUAAAUUUAGUGCACUUUUUUUAUUUUUAACUUUUUUUUAUUUUUAUAAAUAACCUCAGCGGGACUUUAUUUGCGGUAGAUAACCCUUUUGACCGCGCCAGACCGCCUGGCGCGGCAGGCGCCCUCUGCCACGCCACAUGCACUGGCGUGGCGGGUCCCUGCCACGCUGGCGCGGUGACUCGCCGUGCAAGGUGGGCGCUCGCCGCGCCAGCCCGCCUGGCGCUGCAGAGCCUACUCUACACUCACGCGCUGGCUCCCUUCCUCCUCCCCCCUCCUUUCUUCUUCCUCUAGAACCACCCGAGCCCAAGCUUCUUGCGCCGCCCCCCGCCGCCCCACCCCCAAAUCCAACCAAAAUCCGGCGAUAUGCUCAGGAAGCACUUCAACGUUUGUCCUCAGGGAUCAAAUGAUGAGGUUGUGCAGCGAUAUGCUCGAGUUUAGCUAUGGC
rnacentral:lncRNA from 1 species